CCUACGGGGGGCAGCAGUGAGGAAUAUUGGUCAAUGGACGAGAGUCUGAACCAGCCAAGUAGCGUGAAGGAUGACUGCCUUAUGGGUUGUAAACUUCUUUUAUAUGGGAAUAAAAUGUUCCACGUGUGGGAUUUUGUAUGUACCAUAUGAAUAAGGAUCGGCUAACUCCGUGCCAGCAGCCGCGGUAAUACGGAGGAUCCGAGCGUUAUCCGGAUUUAUUGGGUUUAAAGGGAGCGUAGGUGGAUUGUUAAGUCAGUUGUGAAAGUUUGCGGCUCAACCGUAAAAUUGCAGUUGAAACUGGCAGUCUUGAGUACAGUAGAGGUGGGCGGAAUUCGUGGUGUAGCGGUGAAAUGCUUAGAUAUCACGAAGAACUCCGAUUGCGAAGGCAGUUCACUGGACUGCAACUGACACUGAGGCUCGAAAGUGUGGGUAUCAAACAGGAUUAGAUACCCGGGUAGUC
rnacentral:rRNA from 1 species